UAAAUCCUAUUUGACUAGUCUUGAAUUUAGUCUCCUAAUCCUAGUAACUCUCUCUCUCUCACGUUCUCCAUAUAUAUCUCUCACGUUGGUUUCUGCCAAAAAUAAUUUUAAGAACCAGAGAAUACAUCAAGAAUUCUUUACACUUGAAGAACUCACAUGAAAAUUUUUAAAAAAACAAAAAAAAGCAACCAAAAACGUUAAGGCAAAGAGAAGUUCGUUGAGUGGUGUGGACGUUGAGGUAAUUUGGACUGAUUUUUGGAGAGAGUUUUGGGCAACAAAUUCUUCGUUUGAACAUCAAUAAAGGUGCAGGCACAUGUGGACGGUCGAGCUACAGGUUCAUUUUUGUAGCUAUUCGGACGUCAGCAUUCCUCCGGAGUUUGGUAGGUUCUCAUGCUUUCGAGGAUGCUACUGUGUUACAUUCUAGCGUAGUUUUAGAGUUGAGCUAGUGGAUCAUGUUCCACUAGCGUUUCUUUCCUGUUUUGGUUCAGACUUUGUAUUAGUGCUAUUUUGGCCGAUAUAAAAUUAAUACUUAAUGAAUUAUUUUUUUCAGUUACUUAUGUCUUAAAUGUUAGAUGGUUUAUGAUGAACGAUUAGCAAGUAUAAUUAAAGAAUCAAAAAUUUCAAAUUUUCCACUAAAAUUAACCUAUGUAAAGUAAGAAUGACGUAAGUAGGCUUAUUUGCGACCUCUGAGAGAUCAACGACGCUGGUCUCCUCUGGAGUCUAGAUUCCAGUCGUGACAAUUUAUAUAUGAGAGAUAGGGUUAUCUUUGUGGUGAGGGAACUAAUUUUGCAUUUGAGAGAAUUGCAUAUGUCAUUCACAACCAUUUGGGUCGUGAUAGGAUGGGGAGUAAGGAAUUAAGGGGGAAAAGACCCGAGCACCAGUCAACCACGUUGAUCUCGUGUACAACUGUUGGGACAUUUAAAGAUCGAAGACUUGAGCACCAGUAAACCACGUUGAUCUCAUGUACUGUUGGGACAUUCAAAGAUCGAAGGUGAGUUCAUGGUGUUCUAGUCAGUGCCGGCUCUAUGCCUUUGAGAAUAAGACUUUUGCCUUAGGCCCCCAAAUUUUUGGGCCCCAAAUUUUUAUCAAGAAUGAAUAAAUUAUGUGUUAAAAUUUUUAUAUAAAAAAUAAUUAUUUAUGAUAAAAAGUAAAGAUCUUAAAAAUAUAUAUUAUUUCACUCACUUUAACAUCUUUUAUUCUUUGUUAAAAAUAAGAAUUGAUAGUGAAAAGUAUUGAACAAAGUGAGUUACAAAUUCUUUUUUUUUUUCAUUUUAAAUUUUAGUCUCAAGCAUUACUACAAGCAUAUAAAAAUGGGGUAUAUCAACUCAUCAACCUCUUGCAUUAAAUUAUAUGGUUCUAACUCUGAUAUUUCGGGCAUAGGUUGAAGGGGUACUUGUGCAUCAUCCCUAUUCUUUUAUAAAAUCAUCAUAUUAUACAAACAAUCUCUUCACACCGAGCAUGAUUAUUAUAUUUUACAAAAUUUAAAAUUAUGAAUCUAGUUUUAUUUAAAAUAUAAAAUGAUAGGUCAAGUUUAUAUUUUAAAACAAAUCAAAGUUCCAAUUUGGAAUUUCAUGUCUAAUUUUUGGAUAAUUUUGGGAUUUAAAAUCACGAUUUGAAUAAUUUAUUGAUAUCAUAAACAAUCAUUGAUUUGAAAUAGAAACUUAAAAUUAGAUUUUCAAAAUCUAUAGAGAAAUCAAUUAUUUCGUAGGAUAGGAUAGGGCGGGAGAACCAUAACUCAAAUUCUAAAUGGGCCAAGCGAGCCAAAUUUUGGGUUGAAAUUUUAUAUAUUAACACUAAUUAGACCCAUUUAUACAAUGUGUUCACUAUUAGUCGACGACUAGUUUUGGUAAUUUUAUGUAGUAUUACAAACUUUUAUAAUAUUAAAACCUAUAAUAAUAAUAAUAAUAAUAAUAAUA